rnacentral:tRNA from 1 species
CGGAUUGAGGUCGAAAAGGAUAGGCGUCUAAUUUGGGAUUAGAAGAAUACGAGUUCAAGUCUCGUCAAUCCGA